CUGCUGCCUCCCGUAGGAGUCUGGUCCGUGUCUCAGUACCAGUGUGGGGGACCUUCCUCUCAGAACCCCUACGCAUCGUCGGUUAGGUGGGCCGUUACCCCGCCUACUGCCUAAUGCGCCGCAUGCCCAUCCCUGUCCGGCCGAAGCCUUUCCUGCCUCCGGGAUGCCCCGGUGGCACGUACGCGGGUUUAGCCCGCCUUUCGGCGGGUUGUCCCCCUGACAGGGGCAGGUUGCAUACGUGUUACUCACCCGUGCGCCGGUCGCCGGCGGAGAAAGCAA
rnacentral:rRNA from 1 species